AUGGGCUCUGAGUCCAUCCCCAGGGUGUCACAUCCUUCUCCCAGUGGCAAUGAUGGGCUCUGGGUCCAUCCCUGGCGUGCUACAUCCUUCUCCCAGACACUGACAUGCACCUCUGGGGUGCUUUGUCCUUCUCCCAGUGGUGAAGAUGGGCUCUGUGUGCUCCCCCAGAAUGCCCUGUCCUUUUCCUAUCCCCAGGGAUGUACCCCCAGGAUGCUCUGUCCCUCUCUCGGUGACAAUGAUGGGAUUUGGGUGCAUUUCCAGGGUGCCACAUCCCUCUCCUGGGAGCAGAGUUGUAACCCCAGGGUGCCCUGCUCUCCUCGCAGUGACAUGAUGGACUCUGGGUGCACCAAGGGGGGGCUCUGUCCUGCUCCCAUCUCUGGAGCUGCAUCCUCGCUGUGCCCCAUCCUUCUCUCAGUGCUGGAGAUGCUCCCCCAGGAUGCUCCUUCCUCCAGUGGCAAUGACAGGCUCGGGAUUUGUCCCCGGGGUGCUCCCCGCGCUGAAGGAGCGCCCCAUGGGGUGCCCUGUCCUUCCCCAGAGCAGUGCAGGGCUCCGGGUGCACCCCUGGGGUGCCCCAUCCUCCUCCGAUUGCCAGACGCUGCCCCGCGUGCCCUGUCCCUCCCCCAGUGCUGGGGACAGUCGCCAUCAGCCCUGACGUGUCCCAAGGGGCUCCCUCAGCUCUUUCCUUGGCCACGGAGAUGUUCCUUGUGGUGUUUUGAGGCACCCCCACAGCGCCCCCGGGGUCCCCCCGGCCAUGCCAUUGUCCCCGCUGUGGUCCCUGGAGGUCCAGGGCUCCCCCCCCGCGGGGACAGCGGCCGCGGUGGCCUCGAGAGGGGCAGUGCCUGCCCCGCUUUUGGGGGGCUGCACCCCCAGCCCGGAGCCGGCUCUGCUGCUGGGUCAGGAGACACGGGCUGCGUGGGGACACCGCGGGGGACACACAGCCCGAGGGUGGCUCCAUCCUUCCCCCUCCCCGCUCCCGCAUCCUCCCGACCCCAUCCCGCUGGAACCCUCAAUGCCAGGACUCAGCCUUACCACCCACACGCUUUUCGGGUGCCCCUUUUCCACGCCAUGUCCCCUCCCUGUCACGACUCGAGGGACCAGAUGUGGCUGUGA
rnacentral:lncRNA from 1 species